GAUGAACGCUGGCGGCGUGCCUAAUACAUGCAAGUCGAGCGAACAGACGAGGAGCUUGCUCCUCUGACGUUAGCGGCGGACGGGUGAGUAACACGUGGAUAACCUACCUAUAAGACUGGGAUAACUUCGGGAAACCGGAGCUAAUACCGGAUAAUAUAUUGAACCGCAUGGUUCAAUAGUGAAAGACGGUUUUGCUGUCACUUAUAGAUGGAUCCGCGCCGCAUUAGCUAGUUGGUAAGGUAACGGCUUACCAAGGCAACGAUGCGUAGCCGACCGGAGAGGGGGGUCGGCCACACGGGAACUGAGACACGGUCCAGACGCCUACGGGAGGCAGCAGUAGGGAAUCUUCCGCAAUAGGCGGAAGCCUGACGGAGCAACGCCGCGUGAGUGAUGAAGGUCUUCGGAUCGUAAAACUCUGUUAUUAGGGAAGAACAAAUGUGUAAGUAACUAUGCACGUCUUGACGGUACCGAAUCAGAAAGCCACGGCUAACUACGUG
rnacentral:rRNA from 1 species